ACCUUACGUGACCUUACAACCAAAACAACAACCUUAUGUGACCAAAACAACCACUAAAAGAUGACUUAAACAGCCUUAAGCAACCAACUUGAUGCAAGGCAACAGAUGACAACGGCCAACCACAAACCGUAAGGGAUUUAGAUCCCAAUGGGUUUUGAGGAAAAUAUUUUUACAUUAAGCAAAACUCUGAACAGAAGUUAUGUGCUCUACAACUUCCUAUUUCUUCAGUUUGGCUAUUGUACUUAACAGCAGUGUGUUGUAUGCUAUUCUAGUGGUGUUUGUAGAUCUUUUUCUUUUAUAUAAACAUGACAGCUAUCCCUUUAAAAUUUUCUAUAUUUAUUUCAUUAUUUUUUUAAUCUCAGUAUGCAUCAACAUUUUUGGGAUUUUCUGUAGAUAUCAAUAUAUGAUUUACGCAUGUCUUCUCCUCUGAGAGUUAAGGAUCACAUGUAUGGUAGCCCAAUAUUAAAUAUCAAAUGGCACCAGACACUUAAUUCUACUGAACCUAAACUGAUCACUGCUGAUAAGCACAUAAUGAGAAUCUGGGAUCCUAAUACACUGCUGUAUCUGCUC